GGUGUGUAAGCGCAGCGAUGCGUUGAGCUAACCGGUACUAAUGAACCGUGAGGCUUAACCUUA
rnacentral:rRNA from 1 species